UUUCCGUAGGUGAACCUGCGGAAGGAUCAUUACCGAGUUAGGGUGCUUCUCAGCGCCCGACCUCCCAACCCUUUGUGAACACAACUUGUUGCUUCGGGGGCGACCCUGCCGUUUGCGCGGCGAGCGCCCCCGGAGGCCUUCAAACACUGCCUCACUGCGUCGGAGUUUAAGCAAAUUUAAACAAAACUUUCAACAACGGAUCUCUUGGUUCUGGCAUCGAUGAAGAACGCAGCC
rnacentral:misc_RNA from 1 species